rnacentral:lncRNA from 1 species
CUUUUAAGGUGAGAUCAUGUUGCCCAAUAGAUCUUGCCAGAAGACUGGAUUCUGCAGGGAAUGCAUGUGACAACUGCUACCAACUUCUUAUUCUUUUGCUACCCAAAAAAGGAAUCAGCCAGCACACACCCGAUCAAAGAUCCUGGGAUUUGGGAGUUGUUGAGUGCAGGUGCAUCUGGCCAGCGGAAUUUACUGGCAUCACCUAAGGUUAAUUAAGGGACUAAAGCUCCAUCUCUGGUCUCCAAGUAAAGCAAGAAUGAUGGUAGCUCAGAAGAUGGAGAACUGAGCCCUCAAGCCUCUCCCCACUGUUUCUCAUACCAGGUGGUCUUGUCUGCGUGAACGAAGAAGCCGCGGCCUCCGAGGCUCUGCAGGCAGCUCUUGGCCGGUCUAGGUUACCGGUGAUUAUUCAUCUAGCCUCGAUCCAACAGUCGCGAGCAGGAGCAAAGCCUCCCCCUUCCCCCCACCCUCCCUGCUACCUUGGAGAAAUCGAGCAGGAAAGUGUUGGAGGUAUUUUAGAAGCUGUGGUUCGCCCGCAGGUGAGUCAGUCCAGGGAAAGAACGAAGCCGAGGACGGUUUAGAAAGAAGUUCCAGGAACAAGUUUAGAUGCGUUUAACUCGCACUAUGGGCUUGUACAGCACGAAAAACAACUGCCAUAGUAAAGAACAGUGAAAACCACUACAAGAAACUUUU